UACGUAGGGCGCAAGCCGUUAUCCGGAAUUAUUGGGCGUAAAGAGCUCGUAGGCGGUUUGUCGCGUCUGCCGUGAAAGUCCGGGGCUCAACUCCGGAUCUGCGGUGGGUACGGGCAGACUAGAGUGAUGUAGGGGAGACUGGAAUUCCUGGUGUAGCGGUGAAAUGCGCAGAUAUCAGGAGGAACACCGAUGGCGAAGGCAGGUCUCUGGGCCGAUACUGACGCUGAGGAGCGAAAGCGUGGGGAGCGAACAGG
rnacentral:rRNA from 1 species